UACGUAGGUCUCAAGCGUUGUUCGGAUUCAUUGGGCGUAAAGGGUGCGUAGGCGGUCGUGCAAGUCGGGUGUGAAAUCUCAGGGCUCAACCCUGAAACUGCAUUCGAUACUGCGUGGCUAGAGUGCUGGAGAGGAGACUGGAAUUUACGGUGUAGCAGUGAAAUGCGUAGAUAUCGUAAGGAAGACCAGUGGCGAAGGCGAGUCUCUGGACAGCAACUGACGCUGAGGCACGAAGGCCAGGGGAGCAAACGGG
rnacentral:rRNA from 1 species